GUAGGAGACAGGUGGAUGCGUUGAGUGGUCCUUUGGAGUUGUUUGAGGGGCUGCAAAAGAGGCGUUUCGGAGAGAAUGUUGCCGGAUUGUUAAACGCGGUGAGUUUAAGGAACUUUUCUCUCUCCUCUUUGCCUUUAUCCACUUCUCAAUCUCCUGCAGGUCUCUAUUCGUACCCACAAACAUAAUGUUCUGUAAUUGGAUUUGGGUGGUGCCUUUUGCAUUUGAUAAAUGUUUGAGUUGCGUAAUUCAAAACACCACCCAAACUAGGGGUUGCAUAGUGGAUUCAGACUUCAGAAUCUUCCUAGUUUCGGUCAUUCAAAUCUACCAUGGGAACCUAGAGUUUUCUCUUUAACGCAUUAAUCUCCAGGUAUAAUUUCUUAUACCCACUUCUUAAAGGAGUUUGAUUUAUGCCCUUCUUCUAUUUAGCUUAUGCUUUACAUGAUUACAGUUUAUAUUCUUACUGAACAUACUGUUAGGUUUACCAAUCUUCUGUUUUGCAAUGUUAAUAUUAGUAUAUGUGCACAUAUGUUAAUUGUUCUUAAUAUUACCAUUUCUAGUUUAACAAAAGAUUCAAUCUUCACCUAUGCAAUUGAACCCCACCCCACCCCACCCCACCCCACCCCAUACCUGUUGCAUAUGUUAUUUAUGAAUACCCAAAAUUAAAAAGCCCAUCACCCUGGCGCCUCUCUUUCUGACUAGAUACAACCCUAUGUUUUGAUUGUUUGCACCCAAUUGCAUCUCCAUAAACUUAAACCUGCGCUCUUACACUUGGGAAGAAAAGGACAUGGAGGUUGAAUCAAGAAAUGACCCCUUCAUUUGUUUUUUCCCAAGAAAUAUGUUUCAUAAAUAAGUGUUACUGCAACUGUUUUAUAGUACAGAAUUACUUGUCUAGUUAUAUUAGUAAUAUUUAUUAAGCCAGAGUUGGAGAUUGGGUUACCCUCUUUCUGAAGCUGUGUUACACAUUUUUAUUGAAACAAGUGUUACCUUAUCACUCAAACAUGGAUAAAUAACUACAAUUUACUCCUAAGUCCCAAUAUUCACAAGUCUUCCACCCCCUUUCUAAUAACCACUAAAUUUAAACUAUUGAAAAAUAAAUCAUCAACCAUGGAAAUAAAGGUGUACAGUGCACAUUGUUGUGUGUAUAUGACAUUACUAGUCACGUACUAAAUUUUUUGGUACAUAGCGAUGUGGAUUGCUGACCUCAGUAACAAAACAAUUCACUGUUUGGUAUAUUACAGGGAUUUAUUCGUCACCUACUACACUUUUUCUUUUUUGAUUAUUAAGCAAUUUUAUUAAAUGAGAGAGGAAGAUCUCAAAAAUCAUAAGGUUUCCGGAAGGAAUCGAAAUAAUUUCAAGCAUUGCUGGAGAAAACGAGAAAUAUAACAUUAGACAAAGCACCCAGAAGCAAAGAACCUCUAUCAACACGAAGAAUAUAGAUCAUGAUUUUAAGUUACAGUCGUGGUAGGAAUCGUUGAUGCAGUAGUGAUCGUGGUGACGUGGAUUGAAGCAAAUAUUAUGUAACAGACAUAAAAAUUUGAGUCGUGAAUGAUGUUCAUCUGGAUACAUUUCGAACACAAUUUCACUUUCACUCUAUAGCUUUAGAAUCAUGCCAGCUGCCAUUAACAUAGAUAAAAAAAUCAACGGUAACCCUUCCGUUUGUAUCAGUAGAAACUUGUACAUUCCAUGAUGAAACUCAGGUAUUCAGUGAGAAACACAGAUUAUCUAUUUUCCUCCUGAGCACUCACAACUCCUCUGAACCAAGUAUAGUGGUAUAAUUUAGAAGUUCAAGGCCUAAAAAGCUUGGGAGAUGUGCAAAGACAAAAGUAUUGGAAAAUUAAUCUGAUUAAUUUUUGGUAGAUCUAUGUCAAAGCUAAUUUCCUACUUGGUGUAUCUGGAAAGUAUAAGGAAGAGAAGAAAGAUUUAUGGAUCAUGUUGACUCUAAAAAGUAUAUAUAAGGCUUUGAAACUUUAUAAAGGCUUUGACUUUUAUAAGUUUAUUUAACAUUUCAUACACUACUAGGUAUAUGAGAGCAAGGUCUUAGCUUAAACGCAACCGAAAUUUAGUGUAAUUCUUGGUCACUUUGGCAACAGUUCUAUACGAGAUGAAAUCCGCUCGACUGUAAGGAGAGGAGAUGAAAAUCCGAUUCUACAAGAGAUUGAAAUUAUCCUUAUAUUACUUUGCAAAGAUGGUAUUAUUAUUAUUAUUGGGGAUGAUCUUUAUGAUAUCUGUAAUCCCAAAUAAUUUCUCAGUUGACGUUGGAUAUUGACACAUAAAAUAACGAUAGAUUGUGGCUGUUGAUUUAUUGUUUAUCAUUAUUAUAAUUUCAGUCCUAUCUAACUCUCAGUGAUGUCUUCAUUAGUUAAAAAGGAUCGUCAUUUUGUACGUUUCUUGCAACCAUCAGAUUAUCACAAGCACACUAAACAUGUCAAAGAGAACUAUCAAUUUACAUGUCAACCUAUUACACGUGUCACCAUUCGACUCAUCCUUACCCGCAGCAGUGUUUUUCAUGAGCCUAGCAAACAUAUUAAUGCUUUUAUCAUUUUUUGUGCCAACAUUUUUACUUGUGCUAAGGAAAUUUUUUUUACUUGUGUGAUAAAGUAACUGCUUUAUUUUAUCCUUUUGCCAUAAGUAUUUAGAUAUCCCCUCAUCAAUACAGCACACCGAGAUUUCAUUGUCUGUGUCUUUGUCAGUGAUAUUUAUUAGUUUAGCCAUAUUAUCGAUUACAAGACAUCAGGAUAACUUAUCUUCCAUUUAAAUUUGUUUCGGACCUGUUAAAUUAGAUAUCAAUCUGCCUUAAAAGAUGCAGAUUCGAUGUGCUCUGGUAAUAUGUGGACAGCUGGUGCAGGCAAUGUAAAGGACAACUGUUCCCGAUGUAUCUCAAACAUUUUUGCUUGCUGUCUUAAUGCUAGUGACCUUAUCAAAGGUGAAAUUGCCUGGUGGAUUGGAGAAUUCCUUUGCAAUGCUAAUUCCUUUCGGUUUCAUCCUCCAGAUUGUAUAUAGAAUCUUAACAUUUACUUCCCUUUUAUGUGCUGGCAAUUAUUGACUGUGGCCCUGAUUUACUUUGAUGGCACAUUGGAUAUGUUUCUCAGUUUUAACUGAUCCCUUGCUAUGACUGUUAUAGAUAUGACAAGUGAAGCUUACAAUUCUGAGUCAAACUCACAGCAGCAAAGUGUCACAAUCAACACAAUCAAAUUCAUGACAGUGGAAAAGCUUUAGCUCACAGUCAUGUACAUUAACUUAUGCUAGUUAUGUUUAUGGCAAUUUUGU
rnacentral:lncRNA from 1 species